GACCCUCUUUGGGGUGCUCGGGGUGUGGGGGGUGUCAAGGAUCCCCUUUGGGGUGCUCGUGGUCUGUGGGGUGUCUGUGGGGUCACAGGACCCCCUUUUGGGGUGCUCGGGAGGUCUGUGAGGGGUCUGGGGUGUCAAGGACCCCUUUUGGGGUUCUCUGGAGGUCUGUGAGGGGUCUGGGGGGGAUCAAGGAUCCCCUUUGGGGGGCUCAGGGCCUCCUUGAACAGGUUUGGGGUGUCUGAGGGUUACAGGACCCCUUUGGGGUGCUCUGGGAGCCCCUCGGGGAGGUUUGGGGUGCUCAGAGAGUUCAGGGAGCCCUUUUGAGGUGCUCUGGGUGCCCCUGGAGGUUUUUGGGGGGUCAGGGAGCCCUUUUGGGGUGCUCUGGGUGCCCC